rnacentral:tRNA from 1 species
GCUCCUGUGGUCCAGCCCGGUCAACGAUUUCGCCUUCUCAGGGCGAAGACCCGAGUUCGAAUCUCGGCGGGAGCA